UACGUAGGGAGCGAGCGUUGUCCGGAAUCAUUGGGCGUAAAGCGCGCGUAGGUGGCCUCAUAAGUCCGCUGUGAAAGUCAAAGGCUCAACCUUUGAAAGCCGGUGGAUACUGUGAGGCUAGAGUACGGAAGAGGCGAGUGGAAUUCCUGGUGUAGCGGUGGAAUGCGCAGAUAUCAGGAGGAACACCAAUAGCGAAGGCAGCUCGCUGGGACGUACUGACACUGAGGCGCGAAAGCGUGGGGAGCGAACAGG
rnacentral:rRNA from 1 species